UCCGACAAAGACAAACCCCGAGUGAUCGGGGGACGUAAAGCUUCGGGUCAGAAAUGAUGGCCGGGUUGCCGAAG
rnacentral:ncRNA from 1 species